UUUAGGGAGACCUAACCAAACAAAUCACUAACUCAUAUCGGUGAAUGUUUCGGUCAAUCCCAAGGUCGAACAAGGAAUAAAAUAAGAAACAUUGCUUUCAAACUAGAGUCUGGGUGGAGGGCAUGGGCUAUUAGCUCAGGUGGUUAGAGCGCACCCCUGAUAAGGGUGAGGUCCCUGGUUCGAGUCCAGGAUGGCCCAUCUCCACCACUAAACUCACACCAAAGAAUAACGAGAAUUAAAACCUCAGCACCUUAACUGGCUCAAAAAGCGAGUGAGAAUGCUGGACGUAAGUUCAGUUAGCACCUUGAAAACUGCAUAGAAAGAGAAGAAAAACAACGAAGUAAAGUAAUGAACGUAAGUUCAAAAUGAUAUUUCUGCUUGACAAGCAAAA
rnacentral:tRNA from 1 species